rnacentral:rRNA from 1 species
UUUUAAUAGAAAUCAUUAUUAAUAUAACCUGCCCAAUGAAAUUAAAUAGCCGCAAUUUGUGCUAAGGUAGCAUAAUCACUUGUCUUUUAAUUUAAGACUAGAACGAAUGGUUGAACAUUUUAAUUCCUAUACCCCAAAAAUCUAUUUAAAUUAUUUUAAACAUAAAAAAAUUUUUAUAAAAAAAAAAGACAACAAGACCCUAUUAAACUUUACUUUAGUUAAACKGGGGUAGUUUAUUAAUAAUUAUUUUAAUUUAAACUAAAUAAAAAUAGACCCAAUAAAAUUGAAUUGAACAAGUUACUAUAGGGAUAACAGCGUAAUAAUUUUUUAAAGAUCUUAUAACAAAAAUUGUUUGCGACCUCGAUGUUGAAUUAAUAUUCUAUUUUACGCAAAAGUAAAAUAAGAAAGUCUGUUCGACUUUUAAAUAAUUACAU